AUUGAACGCUGGCGGCGUGCCUAAUACAUGCAAGUCGAACGGAGUUGCGCACGGGUGAGUAAUAUAUAGCUACUCUGCCCCUUGCUGGAGGCUAACAGUUAGAAAUGUCUGCUAAUACUCCAUAGCAAGGGAUGAGACUAUAUCGUAUCAGCUAGUCGGUGGGGUAACGGCCUACCGAGGCUCUGACGCGUAACUGGAAUGAGAGGAUGAUCAGUCAAAUUGGAACUGAGACACGGUCCAAACUCCUACGGGAGGAAGCAGUAGGGAAUAUUGCGCAAUGGGGGAGAGCCUGACGAAGCAACGGCGCGUGGAGGAGGACAAGUUUAGGAGCGGAAAAUCCUAUUGUUAGGGAAGCGGUACCUAACGAAUAAGCAACGGCUAACUCCGUGCCAGCAGCCGCGGUAAUAC
rnacentral:rRNA from 1 species